AUAUUUUGCAUACAGGCCCAUAGUUUAUAUAUAAAGAUAGGUUUUCUCCACUUCUGAUUUCCAGGAAAAGAGACACCGUAACCUUUGAGAUGACACAGGCUUGGAAGUGUAACGGUUGCUGCAAUCAUUCACACACACCACUCAUCCCACUCCCUCGCAUUCAAUCCGUUUCAAUCUUCUUGAAGGUAACGGAGCAAAGCUCUACUUAUAAAUAAGUUUGAUGUCUGCGAUGAACAACAUCAUCUCUACCUAAUCUGAAAAGAUAUUCUCUGUUUUGCACUUAAUCCAUCAACGGAGACUUCCCACCUUCUUCUUGCUGAUUUGGAAGUUGGACGUUCACCGAUAAGGAAAUCAGGAACUACGAGGAUGGCUUCCUCGAUGGGUUGUCUCACUGACUCGCUCCCUCAACUCAGCACUUCCUUUCUUCAACUUUUCAACUCAAGCCCGAUUUAUAGAUAAGGAUGAGAAUUAAGAGAAGCACAUGCCAAGUUAUCUCUCUUUGAAAACCCGUGCAGCAACUUCUCACCCAUUAGGUAACUGUUAUAUGAUAUCUCACACCCUCUCUAUUUUCAGGUUCAUCAGAAGAUUGAUAAGCCUAAGAGAAAGAAGUUAUACAGAAUCUUGGACUGUAAGAAACUGUCAGUAGACGCAAGCAAGAACGCUUCACAGAGCCAGCUGCUUCCACUGAGAGUAAUGGUGCAAAUCCUUUUCGAUGGAGCAAGCACGAGCUGCGAUAUCUACAACAACAAACACCAUUACUAAGAACGAAACAGUAUUUUUGAGAUGAAGCUUUACAACAAGAAGAAGAUGUAGAAAGAGUUGAAAUUAAACCUAUCUAAGACGAGGUUUUGCAAGUUGUUGUUGAUCAGUAGGAGUUUGAGCCAAUGGAUUUGAAAAGAAAGAUUAUGGGAGAUUUUUGUCGCUCAAGUCAAGCGUUUUUCAUUGUCUCUUUUUUCUACUGCAUGUGCGAUCGUAUUCUGAGUCCAGUUCUUUGUCUAUCCCUACAAAGUGUCAUCAUCAAGACUUGUGGGAAAGGUGUCACCUUCUUCAUCUCCACAUCUGAGUGAGAGCGGGAGCAACGCUGCUGAUCCAGUUGGGACAUCACCAGAGCCUACAACUAAGAAGCCAAUGAGGUGUAACAAUCUUGAGUAGAUGUUAUAGUGGCUCUCAAUUAUCGUUCAGCCCAGUUGUCAUCUAUCAUAUUUUCAUAGUUUUUGCUUCCAGUUUAAUAAUUGUAAGGCUUAUUAGAUCUCUGUCUAUGCAAAUAUUUGGGGUUUGCUAUCUUAAAAUUAAACACUUCUACACC